AACAAGUUCGAAGGCGGAUCUUUCCCUGGCAGGAAAGUGGACAGAGCUUCGACGGAGCGCGGAAAAGACUUUGUGAUGGGGAAUUGGAAACGGAUAAUGUUCAGGGCUAACAGGACCCCAUAUAUCUGAUCCCCGACAUUUACGCAGCUUUUACGCGAUUUACCUGAUCUGGAACAUGAUGGGGGUUCGCAGGAGCAAAAGUCUGGCAGACAAUCACCAACGGCCUUUUUUCGUUCCGACAUACAGCCCUUUAUGAUAAAGGAUGCGUUACGGACAGCUGACACACAGGACUUUGUUG